AACGAACGCUGGCGGCAGGCUUAACACAUGCAAGUCGAGCGCCCCGCAAGGGGAGCGGCAGACGGGUGAGUAACGCGUGGGAAUCUACCCAUCUCUACGGAAUAACGCAUGGAAACGUGUGCUAAUACCGUAUACGUCCUUCGGGAGAAAGAUUUAUCGGAGAUGGAUGAGCCCGCGUUGGAUUAGCUAGUUGGUGGGGUAAAGGCCUACCAAGGCGACGGUCCAUAGCUGGUCUGAGAGGAGGAGCAGCCCCCCUGGGACUGAGACACGGGCCAGAAUCAUACGGGAGGCAGCAGUGGGGAAUAUUGGACAAUGGGCGCAAGCCUGAUCCAGCCAUGCCGCGUGAGUGAUGAAGGCCCUAGGGUUGUAAAGCUCUUUCACCAGUGAAGAUAAUGACGGUAACCGGAGAAGAAGCCCCGGCUAACUUCGUGCCAGCCGCCGCCGUAAAAC
rnacentral:rRNA from 1 species